UACGUAGGGGGCAAGCGUUGUCCGGAUUUAUUGGGCGUAAAGAGCGUGUAGGCGGCUAAAUAGGUCCGUUGUGAAAACUCGAGGCUCAACCUCGAGAUGCCGAUGGAAACCAUUUGGCUAGAGUCCGGAAGAGGAGAGUGGAAUUCCCGGUGUAGCGGUGAAAUGCGCAGAUAUCGGGAGGAACACCGAUGGCGAAGGCAGUGGUCUGGGCCGGUACUGACGCUCAUCAGCGAAAGCGUGGGUAGCGAACAGG
rnacentral:rRNA from 1 species